rnacentral:lncRNA from 1 species
UCACAUAAAAUCCAUUCAAGGUGUCUUAUUUCAUUCAAAAUGUCAAUUCCAUCAUUACAAUCCAUCACAAGUGUUCAUACAUUACAAAAAUUACACAACAAUUAUGUUGACCAAAUGUUAACUUUGGUCAAUAGUUGAAUUUUUGGUCAAGUUUGACCAAAGUCAAGUCAACCACUCUUCAUCCUAAAACCCUAAAUCCCCAUCCUAUUUCUAAUCUGAUAUUCAAUGUUUGACUCUUGAUCUUUUGUUGACCAUUCCAUGAUGGAUACUUUAAAUUACAACUUGGAUGCCAUGAUUUGUUGUCCAACCAUUGUCCACUUCAUAGCAUGCU